rnacentral:tRNA from 1 species
UCCCUAGUGGCUCAGAUGGUAAAGCAUCUACCUACAAUGUGGGAGACCUGGGUUCAAUACCUGGGUUGGGAA